UAUCAAACCUAGGGUUUGAUCUCAUUGGGAAGCAAAAGUAGCUUCAAUAUACUCUAAAGAGUUCAUCUAUACCAUUCCUAGCUCAUUCCAAACCCUAGUUUGGAUUUCACCAUGAGAGGUGGGUUGAAGCUCACCUUUGAGCUUUUCUAGGUUUUGAUCUCUAAAGAAGCAAAAGAAAGCUUCAAAACUCUUCAAACAUUCCAUUAAAACCCAUUGCUAGAUCAUUCAAAACUCAUUCUAGGGUUUUACUAUAGUAGGGAUCAAAGCUUACCUCCAAGCUUUCCCUAAGUUGCUCCAAGGAGGAAGAAGAAGAGGUAGGCCCACUACUUG
rnacentral:lncRNA from 1 species